CCUACGGGAGGCAGCAGUGGGGAAUCUUGCGCAAUGGGCCGAGAGGCUGACGCAGCGACGCCGCGUGGGGGAUGAAGCAUUUCGGUGUGUAAACCCCUGUUGCUCGGGACGAACGACCCUUUUCGAGGGUGUGACGGUACCGAGUGAGGAAGCACCGGCUAACUCCGUGCCAGCAGCCGCGGUAAUACGGAGGGUGCAAGCGUUGUCCGGAAUCACUGGGCGUAAAGGGCGCGUAGGUGGUUGGAUGCGCCGGUGGUGAAAGCGCAGGGCUCAACCCUGCGUCGGCCAUCGGGACGGUCCGACUGGAGCACUGUAGAGGCAGGUGGAAUUCCGGGUGUAGCGGUGGAAUGCGUAGAGAUCCGGAAGAACACCGGUGGCGAAGGCGGCCUGCUGGGCAGUUGCUGACACUGAGGCGCGACAGCGUGGGGAGCAAACAGGAUUAGAUACCCUGGUAGUCCACGCCGUAAACGAUGGGCACUAGGUGCUUGGGGGAGCGACCCCCUGGAGUGCCGACGCUACGACAUAAGUGCCGCCGUGGGAGGUACGACCGCGAGGUUAAGGUAAACGUACGAAAGAAGUAGACGGCGUGAGACGNGCGACGGCGACGACGAGGGAGGAGG
rnacentral:rRNA from 1 species